ACCUACAAAGAACAGCAGAUGUCAUUUUCCUGAUCUAAACAGGGUAACCUGACUGGAACAUCAGCCCAGAAAUAACAGACACAACCAUUUAGUCAAAUUACAUAUGAUGACUACAUCAGUGCAGCAGAAACAAAGUUGGUGGCUAGGAAAUUGUGUGCAGAUAUGCGGAAGAUGGCAAGCAUAUUAUUGACACAACAACAAAGCUAACCUUACCAGCUUUAACAAAGUUCCUUUCUCACUGCAUCCAAAAGCUAAAGGUUUGCACUUUGCUGCCAUGAACCUACCCAGAGGAAUGAAAUUAUAUUUCUGUGUGCAGUACCCUAAUUUUUGGAAGUAGUCCCAGAAGGCUACGAAUACUUGCGAUUCAAGACACUGCUGCUAAUGACAGCUGACUAGGCUGUACAUAAAAUGCUUUGUCCAAGAUGUCCUGUUCAGAUCUAAAUCAAAUAAGCAUGAUGUGCAACCCAACAAAAUCUCCAGCUCUUAAGAUAUCAUGUGAUGAAAGCAAUUUGGGAUUCAGCCAGUAACAAAUCCCAGGCUUUAUCAAGUGCAGAGCUACAAAAAGAAUUUAGAAGUCUUCAUCCAUUUCUGAUACAUGACCACAAUGACUGUGUAACUAAGAAAACUCCUUUCAUAAUGUUGAUUAGGAAUAACAGAAGGAGAUAACCUUUGGUUGUUAGCAGCCAGCACUGAAUUUUAAAUAAAGAUUCCUCAUUUAAACACCA